rnacentral:rRNA from 1 species
CGGUGAUGAUGCCUAAAUGGAACCACCUGUACCCAUACCGAACACAGUAGUUAAGCAUUUAGAGGCCGAAAGUACUUGCAUGGAAACGUGCUGGGAGGAUAGGAAGUUGCCGGUUA